GCGUGAGUGAGGAAGGCCUUAGGGUUGUAAAGCUCUUUCGGCGGGGACGAUGAUGACGGUACCCGCAGAAGAAGCCCCGGCUAACUUCGUGCCAGCAGCCGCGGUAAUACGAAGGGGGCGAGCGUUGUUCGGAUUUACUGGGCGUAAAGGGCGCGCAGGCGGCUCUGCAAGUCAGGCGUGAAAGCCCCGGGCUUAACCUGGGAAUUGCGUCUGGGACUGCAGGGCUAGAGAUCGGGAGAGGAGAGUGGAAUUCCCAGUGUAGAGGUGAAAUUCGU
rnacentral:rRNA from 1 species